rnacentral:rRNA from 1 species
CGACAUGCCACUAACGAAGCAGAGAUGCAUUAGGUGCCCUAAGGGGAAAGUGGACACAGGUGCUGCAUGGCUGUCGUCAGCUCGUGUCGUGAGAUGUUGGGUUAAGUCCGCAACGAGCGCAACCCUUGCCAUUAAUUGCCAUCAUUUAGUUGGGCACUUUAAUGGGACUGCCGGUGACAAACCGGAGGAAGGUGGGGAUGACGUCAAGUCCUCAUGGCCCUUAUGGCCAGGGCUUCACACGUAAUACAAUGGUCGGUACAGAGAGUUGCCAAGCCGCGAGGUGGAGCUAAUCUCAGAAAGCCGAUCGUAGUCCGGAUUGUUCUCUGCAACUCGAGAGCAUGAAGUCGGAAUCGCUAGUAAUCGCGGAUCAGCAUGUCGCGGUGAAUACGUUCCCGGGCCUUGUACACACCGCCCGUCACACCAUGGGAGUGGGUUUUACCAGAAGUAGUUAGUCUAACCGUAAGGGGGACGAUUACCACGGUAGUAUUCAUGACUGGGGUGAAGUCGUAACAAGGUAAGCGUAGUGCU